rnacentral:rRNA from 1 species
CCUACGGGUGGCAGCAGUGAGGAAUAUUGGUCAAUGGACGAGAGUCUGAACCAGCCAAGUAGCGUGAAGGAUGACUGCCCUAUGGGUUGUAAACUUCUUUUAUAUGGGAAUAAAAUGUUCCACGUGUGGGAUUUUGUAUGUACCAUAUGAAUAAGGAUCGGCUAACUCCGUGCCAGCAGCCGCGGUAAUACGGAGGAUCCGAGCGUUAUCCGGAUUUAUUGGGUUUAAAGGGAGCGUAGGUGGGUUGUUAAGUCAGUUGUGAAAGUUUGCGGCUCAACCGUAAAAUUGCAGUUGAAACUGGCAGUCUUGAGUACAGUAGAGGUAGGCGGAAUUCGUGGUGUAGCGGUGGAAUGCUUAGAUAUCACGAAGAACUCCGAUUGCGAAGGCAGCUCACUAGACUGCAACUGACACUGAGGCUCGAAAGUGUGGGUAUCAAACAGGAUUAGAUACCCGAGUAGUC